rnacentral:rRNA from 1 species
AUUGAACGCUGGCGGCAGGCCUAACACAUGCAAGUCGAACGGAGCGGCGUACGGGUGAGUAAUGCUUAGGAAUCUGCCUGGUUGUGGGGGAUAACGUCCGGAAGAGGGCGCUAAUACCGCAUUCUACCAGAUGAGCAUAGGUCGGAUUAGCGAGUUGGUGGGGUAAAGGCCUACCAAGGCGACGAUCCUGAACUGGUCUGAGAGGAUGAUCAGUCAACCGGGAACUGAGACACGGUCCAGACUCCUACGGGAGGAAGAAGGGGGGAAUAUUGGACAAUGGGCGAAAGCCUGAUCCAGCCAUGCCGCGUGUGUGAAGAAGGUCUUCGGAUUGUAAAGCACUUUAAGUUGGGAGGCGUUACCAACAGAAUAAGCAACGGCUAACUCCGUGCCAGCAGCCGCGGUAAUAC